UACGUAGGGGGCAAGCGUUGUCCGGAUUUAUUGGGCGUAAAGAGCGUGUAGGCGGCCAGAUAGGUCCGUUGUGAAAACUCGAGGCUCAACCUCGAGACGCCGAUGGAAACCAUUUGGCUAGAGUCCGGAAGAGGAGAGUGGAAUUCCUGGUGUAGCGGUGAAAUGCGCAGAUAUCGGGAAGAACACCCGUGGCGAAGGCGGCUCUCUGGGACGGUACUGACGCUGAGACGCGAAAGCGUGGGGAGCGAACAGG
rnacentral:rRNA from 1 species